rnacentral:misc_RNA from 1 species
GAUGAAGAACGCAGUGAAAUGCGAUAAGUAGUGUGAAUUGCAGAAUUCAGUGAAUCAUCGAAUCUUUGAACGCACAUUGCGCCCUUUGGUAUUCCUUAGGGCAUGCCUGUUCGAGCGUCAUUUGAACCCUCAAGCUCAGCUUGGUGUUGGGUGUCUGUCCCCGCCUCCGCGGGGACUCGCCUCAAAAUCAUUGGCGGCCGGUACGUUGGCUUCGAGCGCAGCAGAAACGCGAACUCGAGGCCCGGCGGAUCGGCGACCAGAAGUCUCUUCUUCACAGUUUGACCUCGGAUCAGGUAGGGAUACCCGCUGAACUUAAGCAUAUCAAUAAGCGGAGGA